GUGCACUGCUCUCUGCAUCUGUUGAGAUCGGCCUGAAGAAAGGGAAGGAUCUGGGAAGGUUCCUUUGAUUUGGUUCCCAAAAAUAACCAAAAGGGUACCACAGAGGAUCAUUCUGCGUUUGUUGGGACGGUGUGACCAAACACACAGAAAAACUCCUGCUGAAGCAGCUGAGAUCCACGCGAUACUGUUAUAAAGAUGGCGUUUAUUAAAGAGGAGAGAGAAAACAUGAGGAUUGAAGAAACAUUCGGUCUGAAACAUGACCAAACUGAGGAACAAACAGACCUGAUGGCGCUGAAAGAAGAGAGGCAAGAACU